AGUCCCAAGCUGGAGAGGGGUGUGUGGCCACUCCUAGAAGCAGCUCAGAGAUGGAGGCAAGGUGUGGAUGUCUUCCACCAGUACAAGCACCCGAAGAUGAGAUGGGAAUCACAGCCUCCUUGAAGUGCCCCGAGCUAAGCUGUGGAGAAGGCCAUGGGAUAGCAAUCAGGUUGUCCCUGUGGUCUCCCGAAGUAUUAAUAUUCGAUAGCUGUGGAUCUGCCUCAAUUUUGAAAUAUACAAAGGAAGGUUUGCGGGGAGCUAGGGACAGGAGCAAGAUGUGGAUUUGCCCUUCCUCCUCAGUUCUAGCUACCGAACCCAGAAUGGGAGCCGAAUGGGACGAAUCAAGUUCAAAGCCGGACAUCCCGAAGCUUCCACACUGUGCUCUCUGAGGACCAAGCUGCCCCCACCCAUUCUUAAGCUUCUACCCCAAUUAGUUUCAAACCCAGAACAAUAAUGUGAAAUCACCAUCCGUCUGCCUGACUCUGUAUCCUGGAGGCCAUACAGAAGGCCAUUCUCUAACACACACACUGUUUAAGGAAGUAGAGAUGGGCGCCUUAGCCCUAGGGAGAAUUUAACUCAAUAAGUCACAAAUGAAGUUUCUUCCUCUGUGAGCGCCUCAGUUGUGGAAAGGCCUAGACUCUGCUAAGUCCUGGAUAGGAUGCUGCCCCCAACACAAUCUUCGUUUAGCAUGAACAGAUGCUUUCUGUGGCCCCCAAAGAACAAGAAGAGAAAUGUUGUAACUCUUUUUUGUGGUUCACCAAGAACAAACAGAAUAAAC